rnacentral:rRNA from 1 species
UACGGGGGGAGCAAGCGUUGUUCGGAUUUACUGGGCGUAAAGGGUGCGUAGGCGGGCAGGUAAGUCCGUGGUGAAAUCUCUGAGCUUAACUCAGAAACUGCCAUGGAUACUAUUUGUCUUGAAUAUUGUGGAGGCAAGCGGAAUAUGUCAUGUAGCGGUGAAAUGCUUAGAUAUGACAUAGAACACCCAUUGCGAAGGCAGCUUGCUACACAAUGAUUGACGCUGAGGCACGAAAGCGUGGGGAUCAAACAGG